rnacentral:pre_miRNA from 1 species
CAACUACUCCCUCUGUCCCAAAUUUCUUGUCUUUGAUUUGUCUAGAUACAGAUGUAUCUAAUACUAAAAAGUGACUUGAUACAUGCAUAUCUAGACAAAUCUAAGACAAGAAUUUUGGGACGGAGGGAGUACUUU